rnacentral:tRNA from 1 species
GGGGCUAUAGCUCAACUGGGAGAGCGCUUGCAUGGCAUGCAAGAGGUCGACGGUUCGAUCCGUCUAGCUCCACCA